GCGCGUGGUUUAAUUUCGAUGGCAAUCGAAGAACUUACCAGGGUUUGACAUGUAUCUGCAUAUCCUUGGAAACAUAGAUAGCCUUCGAGGGUGAUACACAGGUGCUGCAUGGCCGUCGUCAGCUCGUGUCGUGAGAUGUAGGGUUAAGUCCCGAAACGAGCGCAACCCCUAUCCCAUGUUACAAGUGUCUUGGGAAACUGCCUCGGUAAAACGGGGAGGAAGGUGGGGAUGACGUCUGGUCCGCAUAGCCCUUAUGUCCUGGGCUACACACGCGCUACAAUGGUCGGUACAAUGGGAAGCCAAAUCGUAAGAUGGAGCUAAUCCUCUAAAACCGAUCUCAGUUCGGAUUGUGGGCUGAAACUCGCCCACAUGAAGUUGGAUUUGCUAGUAAUCGUGGAUCAGCCAUGCCACGGUGAAUACGUUCUCGGUCUU
rnacentral:rRNA from 1 species